AGACAAUAGAUACCCGGGUAGUCCUGGCCCUCAACGUUGCUCGCUCGUUUUACGGAGUAUCGACCCUCUGUGAGACUAAAGCUAAACGCGGUAAGCGAGCCGCCUGGGUAGUACGAUCGCAAGAUUAAAACUCAAAGGAAUAGACGGGGACUCGCACAAGCAGUGGAUUAUGCGGCUUAAUUCGUCGGUAAACGAAGAACCUUACCAAGGUUAGAAACCCAACUGCAUCCGACCUGAAAGGGACGGAGCCUUCGAGGGUGUUGGGCAGGUGAUGCAUGGUCGUCGUCAGUUCGUGGUUUGAAACUGUUCCCUUCAGU
rnacentral:rRNA from 1 species